UACUCUUGCAGUAGAUCCAAUGUGAGCAACAGUGAGGUUUUUAAGGAGAUGGAUCCCAUACUUGAACAGACCAUAAGGGAACAGGGUCUGGGAUCAUAUUUUCAUUUCACUGGCUCACUAGAAAAGAUCCUUACUUAAGAAGUGGCUCCAGUGACCUGGUGUGAGAGAGCAGAGGAGAGCUGCUCUGCAAGGCAAGCAACACAGGACAGGCAGCAGUUACACACAGGGAUUGUAAGUGCUGAGACACACUCCUACAGGAGAGGAGGCACAGCUGCAGCCAUGCCUCUUUCUUCUUCUCCCAUGGAAAUUCAAUCUUAAAGCCCCCGACUUCUGCAAGCACAAGCUGAGAUGUUCAGCUGUGUGGACAAAGAGCACAUGCUAUCAACAGAUACUUGUCUCCACUCAGGAAGCAGAGAUGGGCUGGACCAUACUGAAUUCAAAGAAUAAAUUCUCAUAAUGCUUA